rnacentral:rRNA from 1 species
GACGAACGCUGGCGGCGUGCUUAACACAUGCAAGUCGAACGGGCCUUGUCCCCUUUUUUUUUGGGGGUGGGGUUAGUGGCGAACGGGUGAGUAACGCGUGAGUAACCUGCCCCUCACUUCUGGAUAACCGCUUGAAAGGGUGGCUAAUACGGGGUGUUCUGGCCUGCUCGCAUGGGUGGGUUUGGAAAGAUUCGACCGGUUUUGGUUGUUUUGGUGGGGGAUGGGCUCGCGGCCUAUCAGCUUGUUGGUGGGGUGAUGGCCUGCCAAGGCUUUGACGGGUAGCCGGCCUGAGAGGGUGGGCGGUCACACUGGGACUGAGACACGGCCCAGACUCCUACGGGAGGCAGCAGUGGGGAAUAUUGCACAAUGGGCGCAAGCCUGAUGCAGCGACGCCGCGUGAGGGAUGGAGGCCUUCGGGUUGGGAACCUCUUUCGCCAGUGAAGAAGGUCCUGCUCUUUGUGGUGGGGUUGACGGUAGCUGGGUUAAUGAAGCGCCGGCUAACUACGUG